rnacentral:rRNA from 1 species
GAUGAACGCUGGCGGCGUGCCUAAUACAUGCAAGUCGAGCGAACAGACGAGGAGCUUGCUCCUCUGACGUUAGCGGCGGACGGGUGAGUAACACGUGGAUAACCUACCUAUAAGACUGGGAUAACUUCGGGAAACCGGAGCUAAUACCGGAUAAUAUAUUGAACCGCAUGGUUCAAUAGUGAAAGACGGUUUUGCCGUCACUUAUAGAUGGAUCCGCGCCGCAUUAGCUAGUUGGUAAGGUAACGGCUUACCAAGGCAACGAUGCGUAGCCGACCUGAGAGGGUGAUCGGCCACACUGGAACUGAGACACGGUCCAGACUCCUACGGGAGGCAGCAGUAGGGAAUCUUCCGCAAUGGGCGAAAGCCUGACGAAGCAACGCCGCGUGAGUGAUGAAGGUCUUCGGAUCGUAAAACUCUGUUAUUAGGGAAGAACAAAUGUGUAAGUAACUAUGCACGUCUUGACGGUACCUAAUCAGAAAGCCACGGCUAACUACGUG